rnacentral:tRNA from 1 species
GGAGGGAUGGCCGAGUCUGGCUUAAGGCGGCGGUCUUGAAAACCGCUGAGGCGAAAGCCUCCGUGGGUUCAAAUCCUACUCCCUCCGCCA